rnacentral:rRNA from 1 species
CAGCCGCCGCGGUAAUACAGAGGGUGCGAGCGUUAAUCGGAUUUACUGGGCGUAAAGCGUGCGUAGGCGGCUUCUUAAGUCUGAUGUGAAAUCCCUGAGCUUAACUUAGGAAUUGCAUUCGAUACUGGGAAGCUAGAGUAUGGGAGAGGAUGGUAGAAUUCCAGGUGUAGCAGUGAAAUGCGUAGAGAUCUGGAGGAAUACCGAUGGCGAAGGCAGCCAUCUGGCCUAAUACUGACGCUGAGGUACGAAAGCAUGGGGAGCAAACAGGAUUAGAUACCCCUGUAGUCCCUGUCUCUUAUAC